UACAGAGGGUGCAAGCGUUGUUCGGAAUUACUGGGCGUAAAGCGCGUGUAGGCGGCGUGGUAAGUCGGAUGUGAAAUCCUUCGGUUCAACCGAAGAAGUGCAUUCGAUACUGCCUCGCUUGAGUAUCGGAGGGGAUGGCGGAAUUCCCGGUGUAGAGGUGAAAUUCGUAGAUAUCGGGAGGAACACCUGUGGCGAAGGCGGCCAUCUGGACGAAUACUGACGCUGAGGAGCGAAAGCGUGGGUAGCAAACAGG
rnacentral:rRNA from 1 species